UACGGAGGAUGCGAGCGUUAUCCGGAAUCAUUGGGCGUAAAGAGUUCGUAGGCGGCACGUAAAGUCUGGUGUUAAAGGCAGAGGCUCAACUUCUGUACGGCACUGGAUACUUGCGAGCUAGAAUGCGGUAGAGGUAAAGGGAAUUCCUGGUGUAGCGGUGAAAUGCAUAGAUAUCACGCAGAACCCCGAUUGCGAAGGCAGCAUACCGGCGCCCUACUGACGCUGAGGCACGAAAGUGCGGGGAUCAAACAGG
rnacentral:rRNA from 1 species